rnacentral:rRNA from 1 species
GAUGAACGCUGGCGGCGUGCCUAAUACAUGCAAGUCGAGCGAAUGGAUUAAGAGCUUGCUCUUAUGAAGUUAGCGGCGGACGGGUGAGUAACACGUGGGUAACCUGCCCAUAAGACUGGGAUAACUCCGGGAAACCGGGGCUAAUACCGGAUAUCAUUUUGAACCGCAUGGUUCGAAAUUGAAAGGCGGCUUCGGCUGUCACUUAUGGAUGGACCCGCGUCGCAUUAGCUAGUUGGUGAGGUAACGGCUCACCAAGGCAACGAUGCGUAGCCGACCUGGGAGGGUGAUCGGCCACAAUGGGACUGAGACACGGCCCAGACUCCUACGGGAGGCAGCAGUAGGGAAUCUUCCGCAAUGGACGAAAGUCUGACGGAGCAACGCCGCGUGAGUGAUGAAGGCUUUCGGGUCGUAAAACUCUGUUGUUAGGGAAGAACAAGUGCUAGUUGAAUAAGCUGACACCUUGACGGUACCUAACCAGAAAGCCACGGCUAACUACGUGCCAGCAGCCGCGGUAA